rnacentral:rRNA from 1 species
UACAGAGGUCUCAAGCGUUGUUCGGAUUCAUUGGGCGUAAAGGGUGCGUAGGUGGCGCCGUAAGUCGGGUGUGAAAUUUCGGAGCUUAACUCCGAAACUGCAUUCGAUACUGCGGUGCUUGAGGACUGGAGAGGAGACUGGAAUUCAUGGUGUAGCAGUGAAAUGCGUAGAGAUCAUGAGGAAGACCAGUGGCGAAAGCGGCUUCCUGGUCCAGCACCGACGUUCAGGCACGAAAGCGUGGGGGAGCAAACAGG